UCUCUCUCUCGCUCUGUCUCCACCGGAACCCCUAGCCCCUUUCUUUCUUCUUCUUUCACCUCCGGCCGAGCCCUUCUCCUGUCCUUCCUCUCUUUUUGCUUUCCCCCUCCUCUUCUCCCUCUCGCCGUGCCACCGUGGGGUGGGCCUCCUCCGGGAGAUGCUCCCACCUCGGAGCGGCAGAAGGGAAGGCCCUGGACCUCCUCCGAAGUGGUGCCGGAGGAGUCGAACGGGGUCCCCGAGGUGGGGCCGAGCCCCUGGGAGCUCCCCUGGGGAGGCCGACGCUUCCUCGGCCUGCAGCCGCUCCGGCGACUGCGGCCGAGGGGUGCCCUUCUCCAGGGUGGGAGCAGUGUGACAGGGAGGGGCUAAACCUCCUUCGAAGUGAUGCCGGAGUGAGUUUUAGUCUCCGGGCAUCUCCCUUACCCCGAUCCGACCACGGCGGAGGAGGAGAACCACCGUGACCGAGGAGGCGCGAGAGAUACAGGUACGAUCCUCCCUUUUUUUCCGCUUUUUUUCUUUCUUUAUUUUCUUUUAUUUUCUUUUUCGCCUCCUCCCUCUGUGGUGGUGCCACCACCUCCUCACCGGAGGGGGGUGGGACUCGGCCAGGGCUUGACAGCCCUGCGGUCGCGUCGGGGUACCCUAGGGCAACCGCGGCUGAGCCUGCGGUGCCUGUAGGCCGAGCCCAUCUGGGCUCGGCCCGGAUUGGCAACUGGGCUUGGGAUGGGCCUGGUUGGGCUCGGCUUCUCCUUUCUUUUCUCCCUCUGUUUUACCAUUGAAGCAGAGGGGAGAAGCCAUUUAGGCUAAAAGGGCACUAGUUUGCUACAAAGCUUGUUUCCGUAUUUAAG
rnacentral:lncRNA from 1 species